AUAAAUCCAACAGAUAUAGAAAUACGUAGAGUGAUAGAUGAAAGUUAU
rnacentral:guide_RNA from 1 species